AAUUAAGCAUAUAAUUAAGCGGAGGAAAAGAAACUAACCAGGAUUCCCUCAGUAAGGGCGACUGAAGCGGGAAGUGCUCAGGAUGUGAAUCUGCGCCUUGUUGCGCCGAAUUGUGGUCUGUCGACUGUGGCAUUACUGGCCGGGCCAAGUCCUUUGGAACAAGGCAGCUGAGAGGGUGAGACUCCCGUCCGCCUGGCCGGGUGAGCUACAAGUCAACGAGUCGAGUUGUUUGGGAUUGCAGCUCUAAGUGGGUGGUAAAUUCCAUCUAAAGCUAAAUAUUGGUGGGAGACCGAUAGCGUACAAGUACCGUGAGGGAAAGAUGCAAAGAACUUUGAAAAGAGAGUUAAAGAGUACCUGAAAUUGCUGAAAGGGAAGCGAAGGAAACCAGUGUCGGCUUGGUCAUAUUUCCCUGUCCGCUUGCGGUUUGGGCGCUGUGUCCGGCCUAUGUCGUCCUUGGUUGGAUCUACUGGAAGAGCGCAGUGAGAGUUGAUCUCUGUUGCUAGCAGUAGGCUUGACUGAGGAGGACGAAAUGGUUUUCUUUACCCCGUCUUGAAACACGGACCAAGGAGUCUAACAUAUGUGCGAGUACAGGGGUGGCAAACCCCCGUGCGUAAUGAAAGUGACAGUGGUUGGACUUUUGCACAAUCCGCCGGCCUCAAUCCCUCGGGAGAACGGUCUGAGUGUGAGCAUACAUGUUGGGACCCGAAAGAUGGUGAACUAUGCCUGAAUAGGGUGAAGCCAGGGGAAACUCUGGUGGAGGCUCGUAGCGAUUCUGACGUGCAAAUCGAUCGUCAAAUUUGGGUAUAGGGGCGAAAGACUAAUCGAACCAUCUAGUAG
rnacentral:rRNA from 1 species